AGUUAGAUAGCUUAAGAAAAGCACAUAUUUUGAAAAUAUGAGAUAAAAGUUUAAUUCUUUUGCUAACUU
rnacentral:tRNA from 1 species